GCCCAAUACAUCAAAAUCAACCCAAAAAACAGCCCGGUAUGUCAAAAUCGUCCCAAAUAAUAACCGAACAGACCGAAAUCGACCCAAAUAACAACCUAAAAUACUAAAAUUCUAACAGGGCAACAGACCUGACGUGCCGACAGACCGGCCCAUAUAACCCCGUGUCGUGUUUGGACCUGGACCCCAAACACGUGAGUCAGCACGGCACGACCCAUUUAAUAAACGUGCCUCAACGGGCCGUGCCGUGCCACGUACAAUUCUGCCCGUUUGGCCACUAUGCUUCGGAUUCCCGUGCAUCCACUUUGCCUUGAACCACCCACCAACUAGAGCAGGAGUGAUUUUCCCUGUUCCAUCCAACCCAUCGAUCCACUCCACCUCACCGCAACCAGCCGCACCUUUGCAAUGAGUGAGCCCCUGCUCGAUCUCCUCCCACGAUUCGUGCCCGAGCUCCUCAAGCACCAUGCCGUCCGUGCCCCUUCGCGUCUGGCCAGCCGACGAGCUGCCGGAGACCAGUCAGAUUUUCUUCUCCUUGCUAGAGUUCCGAACUAAUUCGGAGUGUGAGGAUUCGUUCGAUUAUGUUGGUUCGUCGACUUCAUGGCUUCGUUGUUCUUCGAAGCAGGAUUUCGGGCAAGAUGAACAUUUCCUUGGAUACCACUACUAUCAUUGUCAUGCUAGUUGUCAAGUUCAACCUCUAUGUCUUGCUGCCCACCACUUAUUUGUCAAGCCUCCCAAACUGCCAUGAUCAACCCCUAACAUCCACCUUCCCAGCAAUCCCUUGUUUGGCUAUGUUACCGCUCGCUCAGCCCUUCUUAUAGUGUUGCUAGUUGCAGGUGCAAGUUGUUUCCAUAUAACAAUAUGGAUCUUGGGAUACUACAAUAUUAUUGCUAUUUAAUUUAAUACACAUAUAUACUUGGUAAAA